CUUUGAGUGCCUUUUGAUUUAUUCUUUCCUCUGUUUUAUAUCCAGUAUAUAUUUUCAUAAGUUGGGCUGUCAUUACAGUGGAGGUGAAAUUUCUGUCCUUUUUCUAGAGACUAAUUGUAUAAGAAAAUAAAACCCCAAAAUAUUUAUAGUAUCAUUUGCAGUGUAUCUGAGUAUACCUAGAGUCUAAAAAUACUGAUUUUAAUUAGUGACCUAUUCGGGGUGAGGCGAGAGCUCCAUUUUUAGUUACAAGAUACUUACUGGUGGAGGUGGAACUCCAGGACAGUUUCAGGGCAAUAAAUAGCACGGAUUUUGGUAGCACAUUUCCCAGCCCAGCAGAGGAGUGGGGAGGGUUCGUGACUAUGCUGUUCAACCUCACAGCAUGCUUGCACUGUAACUACAACGUGACUGAGACAUCUUUAAAACGACAGUGUUCUAUAUUAAAGAUCCCAGUGAUGGCUAAGUGAUUAAAACACAGAGGAGUAGCAGCUGCUAGACUGCUAGAACUGUAAGACUGCUAGAACUGCAUGCUGUUAUGGGGAAGCAAUUAUGCACUGAAUACCUAAAGGAAGCUAUCAAAUGGAUUCCAAGAAUGUGGUCAUCCUGACCCAGCUCAUUCAGAAUCAUUUGUCUCAUAAUAAAAAUUAUGGACAGAAUACACCAGGUGUACAGAAGAAGAUAAAUAGUUCAGAAGUCUAUGUGGAAGCACUCUCAUUCUUGCUCAUCUGACACUGCAUAUUACCACUGUGCUCAUCAUUUUCCAAGGAGAAUUGUCCCUCUGAUAAGUGCCAAGAUUAUAAAGCAAUACAAGAACAACAGAAACGCCUGUGUUGGGUUUGUUUGUU
rnacentral:lncRNA from 1 species